AAAAUUUUAGUUUAUAGAAAAUAUUUCAUUUACAUUGAAAAGAAUAAUUGUAUGUUAUUAAGGUUUUA
rnacentral:tRNA from 1 species